UAGUGGCGAACGGGUGAGUAACACGUGAGUAACCUGCCCUUGACUCUGGGAUAAGCCUGGGAAACUGGGUCUAAUACCGGAUAUGACUGACCGCCGCAUGGUGGUUGGUGGAAAGCUUUUGUGGUUUUGGAUGGACUCGCGGCCUAUCAGCUUGUUGGUGGGGUAAUGGCCUACCAAGGCGACGACGGGUAGCCGGCCUGAGAGGGUGACCGGCCACACUGGGACUGAGACACGGCCCAGACUCCUACGGGAGGCAGCAGUGGGGAAUAUUGCACAAUGGGCGCAAGCCUGAUGCAGCGACGCCGCGUGAGGGAUGACGGCCUUCGGGUUGUAAACCUCUUUCAGUAGGGAAGAAGCCGUAAGGUGACGGUACCUGCAGAAGAAGCGCCGGCUAACUACGUGCCAGCAGCCGCGGUAAUACGUAGGGCGCAAGCGUUAUCCGGAAUUAUUGGGCGUAAAGAGCUCGUAGGCGGUUUGUCGCGUCUGCCGUGAAAGUCCGGGGCUCAACUCCGGAUCUGCGGUGGGUACGGGCAGGCUAGAGUGAUGUAGGGGAGACUGGAAUUCCUGGUGUAGCGGUGAAAUGCGCAGAUAUCAGGAGGAACACCGAUGGCGAAGGCAGGUCUCUGGGCAUUAACUGACGCUGAGGAGCGAAAGCAUGGGGAGCGAACAGGAUUAGAUACCCUGGUAGUCCAUGCCGUAAACGUUGGGCACUAGGUGUGGGGGACAUUCCACGUUUUCCGCGCCGUAGCUAACGCAUUAAGUGCCCCGCCUGGGGAGUACGGCCGCAAGGCUAAAACUCAAAGGAAUUGACGGGGGCCCGCACAAGCGGCGGAGCAUGCGGAUUAAUUCGAUGCAACGCGAAGAACCUUACCAAGGCUUGACAUGAACCAGACCGGGCUGGAAACAGUCCUUCCCCUUUGGGGUUGGUUUACAGGUGGUGCAUGGUUGUCGUCAGCUCGUGUCGUGAGAUGUUGGGUUAAGUCCCGCAACGAGCGCAACCCUCGUUCUAUGUUGCCAGCGGUUCGGCCGGGGACUCAUAGGAGACUGCCGGGGUCAACUCGGAGGAAGGUGGGGACGACGUCAAAUCAUCAUGCCCCUUAUGUCUUGGGCUUCACGCAUGCUACAAUGGCCGGUACAAAGGGUUGCGAUACUGUGAGGUGGAGCUAAUCCCAAAAAGCCGGUCUCAGUUCGGAUUGGGGUCUGCAACUCGACCCCAUGAAGUCGGAGUCGCUAGUAAUCGCAGAUCAGCAACGCUGCGGUGAAUACGUUCCCGGGCCUUGUACACACCGCCC
rnacentral:rRNA from 1 species